AUGACCAUGGAUGGAGCUCCCGGACAGCAGCCGGCACUGAUCGCCAUCAGCCUUGUAGACAUGGGUGCCACCUCCCUGCCUUCACGCAACGCUCACAGUGUCUCCCAGACUUUGCAGACAAACAGCCCCACUGUUAGGGCUCGGCAAACCCAGCCCAGCAGCCGCCACAGGAGCUGGCUUCUCUCAAUGCCACCGCUCAGACGUCUGUGGGCAGCAGCGCAACGACCCGAGGAUGAGGCCAAUUUUGCUUGGCAGCACUACGCUGCUCCAGCACCGGAACCAUUCCCUAGGGAGAGCAGCGAGCAAACCGACCGUCCCAGCUCAGCACGGAGCCUGGAGGGGGCCGAGAAAGGCCCAGAGCUUUCCCAGAAGCCGUGCGGUGCCGCACACCGCAGUAUCUGCGUGCUGAGCUCAGCUAUAGUACAUGCCCCGCUGGUUACACAGGAGCAUGCCGCCUACAGCGGCUCGGGGCAGGCCGCCUCCGUUCUGCCUUCACCUUCCGCAGGGAACCACGUCUCCGCUCGGUGCCCGACCAGGCUGGGACCGCCGUGUCCGGGCCCGGGCCGUGCCACACGGCGUCCCCGGCUGGCUCAUACAGACAAAGCGAAGCGCUUCCAGGUUCCUCCCCGCGCAGCUCAGCUUCAGGAGCGGGUGGAAACGGAGAUAAAGUUAAGCGGGAAACAUCCCAACGCGGAGCAGCGUGUAAGGAAACGGGCAGCACCGGAGGCGGAGCGGCGCGUCCCCAACACGGACAAGUUUCGGGAGAGCAGAGCGAAGCGCUCCUGCCGCUGCUGCGAGGCUCGGGCGGAACGGCGGCCCCAGGCGCCACGCAGGAGGCGGCCCGCAGCCCGCCGGCACCCCGAGCCCCGCGGGCCGGCGCUGGGCGGCGGCACUGACGUGGCACCGUGGCCGCGGCGGAGGGCCGGCUGCGGCGCUCCUUCCUCCCUCCUUCCCGUCCUCACGGCGCGGGGCCCCGGCAGGAAGCACAAAAGCUGCGCCCUCCGCGGGCCGGCGGCCCCGCUCGGCCGAGGCCCCCCGCCCGCUUCCCGUCCCCGAGCGGCAGAGGGAGGGCGGCAGAAACGCUCGACGGACGGUCGCCCCCCGCCCCGAAAUAACGGCGGCGGCGAUCCCCGCUCGGUGCCCACUCACCGCUCGUCGCAGCGGGCACGCCGCGACCCGACCCGGCCCGGCGGAGACUUUACUCCCGCGCCGUCCUCCGCUGCCGACGUGGCGCCCUCCGCCGCCCGCCCCGUCGGCGCCCGCAGACCCCGCCCCAGCGCCCGGCGCGGCCCCUCGGCGGGCGGGGGGCGCGCAGGCGCCGCCACUCCCGCCCCCUGCCCGGCCCGCGGCUCCGGGCCGCCGCGCCGCCCCCGGUGCCUUUCGGGAGGGUCGGAGCUCCCGCAGAGCCACGCGGCGCCUUCGUUCAGUCCGGGGGGGUGGCGACCCCCGAGGUCGGGGAAGGCGAAUCAGCGGGUCCUGAGCGGACUUGGCUCCUGCGCUGGAAGCAGGUCCGUGUUCCCUGCUCUGCCCCUGCUCUUCCUCCAGACGCGGGGAUCCCGGGGCUGCCGAGCGUCCCUUGCCUUGAGGCCCUGUCUGCCAUACUUGACACGCAGGCACAUCUCUUCGUGUCCACUAUUUCCCCCAUAA
ensembl:lncRNA